rnacentral:piRNA from 1 species
UUUUCACUGUGCCAAUUGAACAGUCCUC